rnacentral:lncRNA from 12 species
GACAGCAGAUGCAGCUAAGCGAGGAGGCGGCUCAAGAAAUAAAAACAAUUAAAGGUGAUCGGGGCCACAGCAGAUUGGAAACCCCAGAGUUCAUCAGUGAACACCCUGCUCCUCCAGGAUCAAGCACAUCUCCUCUCUGGUUAUUUGCCUUGCAUGGAGAACUGCAUGGACCCCUGAACUGGAAGAACUGGGCUGGUGAACAGAGGACAGAUCAGGGCAAGAGUGACUCAUUCCUCAUAUCAAUAGAGCUUAUUGAAAAUUCCAGGGCUACGCACCGAGGUUUGAAGCAUUUGUCAGGUAAAGAAAAAUCCUUUUUUCAGAUUGUUGUUCUUACACUAUCCUUCCUAGAGCUGGUGGGGUUUGGUGUAGCCCUGUUGCUAACAUUCUUGUUGUCCAGGCAAGCUGUUAUUUACUUUUACGUUUUUCAAAACAUAUAA